UUGAUGGACAUUUGAGUUGUUUUAAGUUUUUGGAUGUUACAGAUUAAGCUGCUGUGAACAUAUGUGUACAAGUGCAGUCUGAGAGUUCAAGUUGUUCUGCAUCCUUCCAACAGUUGGUAUAGUCAGUUGUAUAGCCAUUCUAAUACAUGCAUAGAAGUACCUAAGUAAGGAUCUAAGUUCAUUUUUCCCCCCUGCUCUGAAUAUCCAGUUCUUAGCACCAUUUAUGAAAAGUCUUUUUCUCUGUUGAAUUGUCUAAGCACCUUUGUUGAAAAUCAGUUGACCAUGUAAGGAUUUAUUUCAGGAUUCUCAAUUCUGUUUCAUUGAUUUUUAUGCCUAUCCUGUGCCAAUGUCACAGCAUCUUAAUCACUAUGACUUUAUAUUAAAAGUUUUGAAAGUCAGUAGUAUAAAUCUACAGACUCUAUUCUUCCUUUUCAAAAUUGUUUUAGAUCUUUUACAUUUUCAUGAAAAUGUUUGGUCACCUUCUCAAUUUCUACAAAAUGGUUUGUUUGGAUUUUG
rnacentral:lncRNA from 1 species